CCUACGGGAGGCAGCAGUGAGGAAUAUUGGUCAAUGGCCGUAAGGCUGAACCAGCCAAGUAGCGUGAGGGAAGACUGCCCUAUGGGUUGUAAACCUCUUUUAUGCGGGGAUAAAGGUGUCCACGUGUGGAUGUUUGCAGGUACCGCAUGAAUAAGGACCGGCUAAUUCCGUGCCAGCAGCCGCGGUAAUACGGAAGGUCCGGGCAUUAUCCGGAUUUAUUGGGUUUAAAGGGAGCGUAGGCCGGUCUUUAAGCGUGCCGGGAAAUUUUGUGGCUCAACCAUGAGAGUGCGGCGCGAACUGGAGACCUUGAGUGCGCGGAAGGCAGGCGGAAUUCGUGGUGUAGCGGUGAAAUGCUUAGAUAUCACGAAGAACCCCGAUUGCGAAGGCAGCCUGCCGCAGCGUUACUGACGCUGAAGCUCGAAAGCGCGGGUAUCGAACAGGAUUAGAUACCCCAGUAGUC
rnacentral:rRNA from 1 species